UACGUAGGUGGCGAGCGUUGUCCGGAUUUACUGGGCGUAAAGCGCGCGCAGGCGGUUCUGUAAGUCCUGGGGGAAAUCGCCCGGCUCAACUGGGCGGGGGCCUGGGGGACUGCGGGACUGGAGGGGCCUAGAGGCCGGUGGAACUCCCGGUGUAGUGGUGAAAUGCGUAGAGAUCGGGAAGAACACCAGUGGCGAAGGCGGCCGGCUGGGGGAGCCCUGACGCUGAGGCGCGAGAGCGUGGGGAGCGAACCGG
rnacentral:rRNA from 1 species